AAACAAUGGUGUAGACACUUUCUCAGUAAUUCCUUGUAUCUUUCCCAUGCUUCAUACGAGGAUUCACUGUCACUCUAUACAAAUGAUGUGAUGUUGUUUCACAUCUU